UCCCAUAGGUUUAGGGCACUGGAAGGUCCCUAAACCGAAAGGGGCUCUGCCCGCCCGAGGAUGGGCCGGCGGCCGAUUAGGUAGUUGGUGGGGUAACGGCCCACCAAGCCCAUAAUCGGUACGGGCAGUGAGAGCUGGAGCCCGGAGAUGGACACUGAGACACGGGUCCAGGCCCUACGGGGCGCAGCAGGCGCGAAACCUCCGCAAUGCUCGAAAGAGCGACGGGGGGACCCCAAGUGCCGUGGUACAACCACGGCUUUUCCGGAGUGUAAGAAGCUCCGGGAAUAAGGGCUGGGCAAGGCCGGUGGCAGCCGCCGCGGUAAUACCGGCGGCCCGAGUGGUGGCCACUAUUAUUGGGCCUAAAGCGUCCGUAGCCGGGCUUGUAAGUCCCUGGCGAAAUCCCACGGCUCAACCGUGGGGCUUGCUGGGGAUACUGCAAGCCUUGGGACCGGGAGAGGCCGGGGGUACUCCUGGGGUAGGGGUGAAAUCCUAUAAUCCCAGGAGGACCGCCAGUGGCGAAGGCGCCCGGCUGGAACGGGUCCGACGGUGAGGGACGAAGGCCAGGGGAGCAAACCGGAUUAGAUACCCGGGUAGUCCUGGCUGUAAAGGAUGCGGGCUAGGUGUUGCUUGGACCUCGAGUCCAAGCAGUGCC
rnacentral:rRNA from 1 species